rnacentral:rRNA from 1 species
GAAAGAGGAGAAGAGCGAACGGAGGAUGCCUAGGCUAUCCGGAGGCGAAGAAGGACGCGGUAAGCUGCGAAAAUGUACGGGGAGUCGCAAACAGACAUUGAUCCGUAUGUGUCCGAAUGGGGCAACCCGGCAGGCUGAAGGCCUGUCACCAUGGAUAACAUGGGGCGAACGCGGGGAACUGAAACAUCUCAGUACCCGCAGGAAGAGAAAGAAACAUCGAUAUCCUGAGUAGAGGCGAUCGAAAGGGGCAGAGCCUAAACCGUGCAGUUUACGGACUGUGCGGGGUUGUAGGAGCGUCCAAAGGAAUACAUCAAGGAACGCGAAGCAGAUGGAAAGCUGCCGCAUAGAGGGUGACACGCCCGUAGCGGUAACGAGGAUGUAUCAGGGACGCCACCUGAGUAGGGCGGGGCACGAGGAAUCCUGUCCGAAUCCGCGGGGACCAUCCCGCAAGGCUAAACACUUCCGGAAGACCGAUAGUGGACCAGUACCGUGAGGGAAAGGUGGGAAGCACCCCGAACAGGGGAGUGAAAGAGAACCUGAAACCGUUCGUUUACAAGCGGUCGGAGCGCGUGAGCGCGACGGCGUGCCUUUUGCAUAAUGAGCCUACGAGUUGCUUCUUCCCGGCGAGGCUAAGCGCCUGAGGCGCGGAGCCGGAGCGAGAGCGAGUCUGAACAGGGCGUUCAGUCGGGAGGAGCAGACGCGAAACCUAGUGAUCUACCCUUGUCCAGGGUGAAGUGGCCGUAACAGGCCAUGGAGGCCCGAACCAGUUUCCGUUGAAAAGGGCUUGGAUGAGAUGAGGGUAGGAGUGAAAGGCCAAUCAAACUGGGAGAUAGCUCGUACUCCCCGAAAUGUCUUUAGGGACAGCCUCGACGGUGUGUAAGUGAGGUAGAGAUACUGAUAGGACGAGGGGGCUUCGCCGCCUGCCGAGUCCUGCCAAACUCCGAAUGCGCUUACAUUAGACGUCGGGAGUGAGUCGGCGGGUGCUAAUAUCCGUCGGCGAGAGGGUAAGAGCCCAGACCUCCGGCCAAGGCCCCCAAGCGCAGUUUAAGUUGAGAGAGAACAAGGUGACACCGCAUAGACAGCUAGGAUGUUAGCUUGGAAGCAGCUAUUCAUUCAAAGAGUGCGUAACAGCUCACUAGUCGAGCGGUGACGCGUGGAUGAUGACCGGGCAUCAAGACUGCCGCCGAAGCCGAGGACGCAUCGCGAGAUGCGUGGUAGGGGAGCAUUGAAACCAGCGGAGAAGGUGGCGCGGCGAGCGCCGCUGGAGCGGUUUGAAAAGAAAAUGUAGGCAUGAGUAACGACAAGGGGAAUGGAAAUUCCCCCGCCGACAACCCAAGGGUUCCUGAACAACGCUAAACGUAUCAGGGUAAGCCGGGAGCUAAGUCGAAGCCGACAGGCGCAGACGAUGCCCAAGCGGUAAAGAUUCCGCUGCCGGCCAUACGGGUCAAUAUGAGACCGAGGAGUGAUGUGUCCGCCACCUGACGGAAUAGGUGGUUGAACCGGGGUAGGGAGACCGAGCCGGGACAGUACGGGGAGUCCACGGACGACCCGACAGCGAUGCAGAAGCAUACUUGCGAGAAAAUCAUAUUGGCGUCAAGAGUAUGGCCGCCCGUACCGUAAACCGACACAGGUGGGUGAGGAGAGAAUCCUAAGGCGCUCGAGUGAAUCACAGCUAAGGAACUAGGCAAAUUGACCCCGUAACUUCGGGAGAAGGGGACCCACAGCGAUGUGGGCGCAGAGAAAUGGCCCAGGCGACUGUUUACCAAAAACACAUGGCUAUGCGAAAUCGUUAAGAUGACGAAUAUGGCCUGACACCUGCCCGGUGCCGGAAGGUUAAGAGGGGGAGUCACCGCAAGGGAAGCUCUGAAUCGAAGCCCCGGUAAACGGCGGCCGUAACUAUAACGGUCCUAAGGUAGCGAAAUUCCUUGUCGGGU